CAUCUUUCGAAUUAUGGUUGAUC
rnacentral:snRNA from 1 species